UGAUAAUGAUGACCUGUGGGGUUGUCCCACAAAAAAUAUUCUACAGUUUUCAAACCAGCAUCUGGAUAUGAAUACUUUUGUAAUUGCAUGUAGCAAAAAGUUUAGCAUAGCCACAGAGUUAUCCAAUAAAAUGUAUCUGUAUAGCACCACCUGCUGUUAGUUUUCUUCUUAUAUCUUUGACCUGCUCACUGAGAAGGCCGCACAUGCUCAGUUUCAUCCUUCAUCUGCCUCCUGAGCUGUGA